rnacentral:lncRNA from 10 species
CUCGAACUCCUGACCUCAGGUGAUUCACCUGCCUCGGCCUCCCACAGUAUUGGAAUUAUGGGUGUGAGCCACUGCACCCAGCCAGAGUGAACACUUUAGAUCGAAGCAGUAUGAUUAUGGCAAAACCGGGUCUCUACUAAAAAUACAAGAACUAGCCGGGCGUGGUGGCACACGUCCCAGCUACUUAGGAGGCUGAGGCACGAGAAUUGCCUGAAUCUGGGAGGUGGAGGUCUCAGUGAGUCGAGAUCGCACCACUGCACUCCAACCUGGGUGACAGAGUGAGACAGAGCGACAGAGACUUUUUCUGUCUCAACAAACAAACAAACAAACAAACAACCAAUAUGGUUUCUGAGUGAAAAGCAGAGGAAAAGUUUGAGUCGUUCUGGGAGAAUGUGGGGUAGAGAGAUCACUUGCUACUUUCCCUUCUUCUAGCACCUCUGCCUGUUGUUCUUCCCUGAUUCUUCCAUCCCGGUCUCCUCCCCACGUUAGACUCUGCCAGUCCCCUUAGUGAAGCCAUGUGGUGGCACAUCACUAUUUUACUUGGUGACCAAACUCUUUAGGCUGCUCGCUUGAAGAACUAGUCCCAGUUUUCUUUGUAAUCUACACAUGGAUUUGUA